GGUAAAAACCCUAAGUCAACUCCUCAUUUUCAUUGCACAUCAGCCCACUUGCUGGGCAUCGCCAUGGGAGAACAGGGUUCGAAGAGCCUUCCUGGAGAUUAUGCAUAGGUAUCUCGGUCUACUUGCAGGCCGCCAUGGUUAAAAACAGGGUUCAAAGAGCUUGCAUUUCAUCAAAAGCCACAAAGACCUCAAAUCCUCUGGCUAGAAAGAUGGGGCUUUCCCUUCUACAUAUGGCCCUAUUGAUGAUUUUGCAGGCCGCUAGUUGGAACUCCUCCUUCAUACUUAUUUUUUCGGCAUAUCUGCACAUGUAAAUUUGAGGGCUCUAUUCAGUUUUGGGCUGCACUUCAUGGCUUCAUGUUUCUUGUAUGUAGGUCGCGGCCUUUCUCCAUUCUGCAUGUUCCCAUCUGCAGAUUUACAUAGAAGAGAGUUUCUUUUUAUCUGUAUCUGGGCCGUGGGUUUUUGCUCCUCAAAUCUCAUUCUGUGUAUGCAUUCAAAUGAGGGUUUUAUCUUUCAUGUAAGUCGUUCAAUGAUUCUCUCUACAGAUAUUUCAUCUUAUCUUCAUACUUUUGGAAUCUUAUUUUGAUUUUUCUAUAAAAUGAAGAGGCCACUGAGGUUGUAUCUCUUGUAUCACUGUGAAAAAUUCUUGCAUCAUGCUUCAUCCUUGAAAGAUGUUAGCAUGUCAUUGUGUUAUGAAAACUUUAACUUUGCGUGAAUAUAUUUCAGAAGCUAUACCUUUUCAAAUUUCAA